GAAUUAUAAGCGAGGGUUGUAGCUGGCCUCCCUUUCGAGGCAUGUGCACGCCUGAGCUCUUAAAUCCACAACACACCUGUGAACCCACCGUAGGCCUUCGGGCUUAUGUAUCAUAUACUCUGAAUGUGUCAUAGAAUGUUCAUGUUGCCUUAAAACGCAAUCAAAUACAACUUUCAACAACGGAUCUCUUGGCUCU
rnacentral:misc_RNA from 1 species